rnacentral:rRNA from 1 species
GUAGGAAAGUAAAGAAAUUUCGAUUCCGUCAGUAGCGGCGAGCGAACGCGGAAGAGCCCAAACCUGGAUGCUUGCAUCCAGGGGUUGUAGGACUGAUGUUGAGUUACAAAGGUAUAAGAUAGCAGAAACAGUUGGGAAGCUGUUCCAAAGAGGGUGACAGGCCCGUAUGCGAAAUCUUGUACUCUCUAAUCAGGAUCCUGAGUACGGCCCAGCACGUGAAAUUGGGUCGGAAUCUGGGAGGACCAUCUCCCAAGGCUAAAUACUAACUAGUGACCGAUAGCGAACAAGUACCGUGAGGGAAAGGUGAAAAGAACCCCGGAAGGGGAGUGAAAUAGUUCUUGAAACCGUGUGCUUACAAGAAGUUCGAGGCCGUUAAUGGCUGAGAGCGUGCUUUUUGUAGAAUGAACCGGAGAGUUACGAUUGCGUGCAAGGUUAAGGUGCAAAGACUGGAGCCGUAGCGAAAGCGAGUCUUAAUAGGGCGAAUCAGUACGUAGUUGUAGACCCGAAACCGAGUGACCUAUCCAUGGUCAGGUUGAAGGUGGGGUAAUACCUACUGGAGGACCGAACAAGUGGGUGUUAAAAAACCCUUUGAUGAACUGUGGAUAGCGGUGAAAUUCCAAUCGAACUCGGAGAUAGCUGGUUCUAUCCGAAAUACAUUUAGGUGUAGCCUUGCAAUUAGCUUACUGGAGGUAGAGCACUAUUUGGUCUAGGGGCCCUUCAAGGGUUACCAAAAUCAGAUAAACUCCGAAUGCCAGCUAAGUAUGUGCAGGAGUCAGACGGUGAGUGAUAAGAUCCAUCGUCAAAAGGGGAACAGCCCAGAUCACCAGUUAAGGUCCCUAAAUAUAUGCUAAGUGGAAAACGUUGUGAAGGUGCAUAG